GCUGAAGGAGACCCUUACUGGAACGCAGCCGCUCUGCAAUCUCCUGAAGAAGGUUGUUCCACCUGGUAAAGAGAUUGGAUGAAUGAUCAAACCUUGGUAGCUCAAAAGAACUACACCUGCCCCUCUUCCUCACUGUUUGUGGCAAGAGGCAUGGUAUUCCUUUUCACCUGAAGGUUAUCAACUUGGACUUUCACAGCUUCCAAAGAACCAGUAAGGAGAUAGAAACGGGACAGAGAAUAUCUGGCUUCCAUCAGGUAACUGUUCAGUUCUUCAUAAGCCACUUUGUAAAUGCUCCACUGAUCAAGAACAGAUUGCAACAAUAUCUUUAGUUGGCUGACCUAGGAAGAG